rnacentral:rRNA from 5 species
GACGAGGCACUACGGUGCUGAAGCAACAAAUGCCCUGCUUCCAGGAAAAGCCUCUAAGCAUCAGGUAACAUCAAAUCGUACCCCAAACCGACACAGGUGGUCAGGUAGAGAAUACCAAGGCGCUUGAGAGAACUCGGGUGAAGGAACUAGGCAAAAUGGUGCCGUAACUUCGGGAGAAGGCACGCUGACACGUAGGUGAAGUGAUUUACUCAUGGAGCUGAAGUCAGUCGAAGAUACCAGCUGGCUGCAACUGUUUAUUAAAAACACAGCACUGUGCAAACACGAAAGUGGACGUAUACGGUGUGACGCCUGCCCGGUGCCGGAAGGUUAAUUGAUGGGGUCAGCGCAAGCGAAGCUCCUGAUCGAAGCCCCGGUAAACGGCGGCCGUAACUAUAACGGUCCUAAGGUAGCGAAAUUCCUUGUCGGGUAAGUUCCGACCUGCACGAAUGGCGUAAUGAUGGCCAGGCUGUCUCCACCCGAGACUCAGUGAAAUUGAACUCGCUGUGAAGAUGCAGUGUACCCGCGGCAAGACGGAAAGACCCCGUGAACCUUUACUAUAGCUUGACACUGAACAUUGAGCCUUGAUGUGUAGGAUAGGUGGGAGGCUUUGAAGUGUGGACGCCAGUCUGCAUGGAGCCGACCUUGAAAUACCACCCUUUAAUGUUUGAUGUUCUAACGUGGACCCGUAAUCCGGGUUGCGGACAGUGUCUGGUGGGUAGUUUGACUGGGGCGGUCUCCUCCUAAAGAGUAACGGAGGAGCACGAAGGUUGGCUAAUCCUGGUCGGACAUCAGGAGGUUAGUGCAAUGGCAUAAGCCAGCUUGACUGCGAGCGUGACGGCGCGAGCAGGUGCGAAAGCAGGUCAUAGUGAUCCGGUGGUUCUGAAUGGAAGGGCCAUCGCUCAACGGAUAAAAGGUACUCCGGGGAUAACAGGCUGAUACCGCCCAAGAGUUCAUAUCGACGGCGGUGUUUGGCACCUCGAUGUCGGCUCAUCACAUCCUGGGGCUGAAGUAGGUCCCAAGGGUAUGGCUGUUCGCCAUUUAAAGUGGUACGCGAGCUGGGUUUAGAACGUCGUGAGACAGUUCGGUCCCUAUCUGCCGUGGGCGCUGGAGAACUGAGGGGGGCUGCUCCUAGUACGAGAGGACCGGAGUGGACGCAUCACUGGUGUUCGGGUUGUCAUGCCAAUGGCACUGCCCGGUAGCUAAAUGCGGAAGAGAUAAGUGCUGAAAGCAUCUAAGCACGAAACUUGCCCCGAGAUGAGUUCUCCCUGAGACUUAGAGUCUCCUGAAGGAACGUUGAAGACGACGACGUUGAUAGGCCGGGUGUGUAAGCGCAGCGAUGCGUUGAGCUAACCGGUACUAAUGAACCGUGAGGCUUAACCUUACA